rnacentral:rRNA from 1 species
GGCGAGCGGCGGACGGGUGAGUAAUGUCUGGGAAACUGCCUGAUGGAGGGGGAUAACUACUGGAAACGGUAGCUAAUACCGCAUAACGUCGCAAGACCAAAGAGGGGGACCUUCGGGCCUCUUGCCAUCAGAUGUGCCCAGAUGGGAUUAGCUAGUAGGUGGGGUAACGGCUCACCUAGGCGACGAUCCCUAGCUGGUCUGAGAGGAUGACCAGCCACACUGGAACUGAGACACGGUCCAGACUCCUACGGGAGGCAGCAGUGGGGAAUAUUGCACAAUGGGCGCAAGCCUGAUGCAGCCAUGCCGCGUGUAUGAAGAAGGCCUUCGGGUUGUAAAGUACUUUCAGCGGGGAGGAAGGUGUUGAGGUUAAUAACCUCAGCAAUUGACGUUACCCGCAGAAGAAGCACCGGCUAACUCCGUGCCAGCAGCCGCGGUAAUACGGAGGGUGCAAGCGUUAAUCGGAAUUACUGGGCGUAAAGCGCACGCAGGCGGUCUGUCAAGUCGGAUGUGAAAUCCCCGGGCUCAACCUGGGAACUGCAUUCGAAACUGGCAGGCUAGAGUCUUGUAGAGGGGGGUAGAAUUCCAGGUGUAGCGGUGAAAUGCGUAGAGAUCUGGAGGAAUACCGG